rnacentral:lncRNA from 1 species
AUAUGUCCCAUCCAUCCCUAUGUGCCAUCCCAUCCCUAUGUGUCCCAUUCCAUCUCCUAUCGAUCCCAUCCCAUUCCUAUAUUGUUCAUCCAUCCCUAUAUGUCCCAUCCAUCUUCCUAUAGAUCCCAUCCAUCCCUAUGUGUCCCAUCCAUCCCCUAUGUAUCCCAUCCAUCCCUAUGUGUCCCAUCCAUCCCCUAUGUGUCCCAUCCAUCCCUAUGGAUCCCAUCCAUCCCCUAUAGAUCCCAUCCAUCCCUAUAGAUCCCAUCCAUCCCUAUGUGUCCCCCCCUUUAGUGUGGGGUCCCUGUUCCCCCUAUGGGCGCACUGACGGCAGCUCAUUACAAUGGAUCCGGAGUGA